UUUUACUAUGAAUAUAGUUCCCAAAUUAAUUGAAAGUCAAUGAGCAAUAGAGAUUGUAAAAUGGUUUUAAUUUUAAUAAGUCCCCAAGAAAAAAUUAACAGGACAAAGGCACAGCUCUAUUAUAAUGUUAACUUAGUGCACUCACCUCAUUCCUAAUUUUUAUCUGCAACAUCUGCUUUUUGUACUACUAUAAUUUUACAAGGUUACACUUCUGGUCUCAAAGAAUUGUGACUUCUGGUGGGCUAUUUCUUCUGUGCGAUAAAUUGCACACAUGCAGUGCAUGACCUUUUCACACCUAGUCGCUCUACCUUUACAAAGCUCAGGCAGUUCUGAAUUUGACUCCUUUUAAAAAUAUAUUAUGACCCUCCUGAUUUCUUUUCUUACAAGGUGUACUUUUCUUUAUCUAUUUUGCUUAGUCUCUUUACAUCUGUGGUAUUCAAUGUUUGCAACAAUGGCUUUUCAGAUUUUUUUUUUUGCAAUACCUGUAUUAUGAGCCCCAAAAUAGUGACUAAUUAAUAUGCUCCUUGGGAUUUUCUGGGUAUCUAGCCUGUAGAAAGAAAAGGGCAGUUCCCAGUGAAAGGACAAAUUCCUGCCUUUUACCUGGCUAUUAUAUAUUACUUGUGUAUGUAUGCAUGCAUGUAUAUACCAUGUACAUAAUCCUUUGUUUGUUUUAUAUGCUAUGUGCACUAUUAUUUAUUUAUUUACUAGCUUUUCCUAUUGUACUUCCAUCCUAAAUCAGACUCAAAGUAGCUAAGGUUACAGACAUUUAACAAAAACACACAAGCAGGAAGAGAAAUAACACCCAGUCAUCAUAACACAUUGAAAGUCCCAGUUUAGCUAUAAAAGACCUUUGUAAGUAAAGAAGUCUUUGCAUUGUGACAGGAAACGUACAUGUACAGAGGGCAGGCUACCCAAGUUAGCCUCAGUUUGUAGGAAUUUCUUCAGCCUGAGAAUGAAAUCAUUGGGAAACCUUAUCUGUCUCCACUCAAAAUGGUGCUCAGAAACUGUUGAGUGGGGCCAAGACAUGGGCUUCACAAAUGUCAAAGCUCAGGAAGACUAACAGUACACUUAGGUCAAAUAUUGAAAGAAAUACUGUCUGAGAAGAUGGAUUAAAUGCCAAAGAUACUAUGCACUAUGAAAAAUGUAGUAAUGCUACUUGGAAAGGAGGAAAGAGCUCUUUAUGAAAGGUGAGAGGAGAUAUUAAAAGUAUGGAGCGUCAUGUUACAUUUUCAAGCAUUUAAUAAAAAUAAUAAAAAUGGGCUGUAAGUAAAAAAAAAACAUGAACUUGAAAAGUAUGCAAUUAAAGUAAAUGUAUCACAUUAUUACUACUUCUAGGUAUAUUACCUAGCAGAAUAAUGCUAAGCAACACCUGUAGUGCAAUAUAUGUGGAUCAAUGGUAUGUGAUGAUACCUGACAUCACAUUGUGAGCUUAUGAUGUGUAAUGGACAGAUGAAAUGUGUAGAAACAAUGCCUGUUGACAUGCCACUCUGUUUAGUUUAAUGGAUUACUUCAUGUGCAAUGACACUGCAUAUAAAACUGUACUUAUGCCACCAUCACUUGGAUAUGGCAUUUACACAUUGCCCUCCCAUCCACUCAAAAUGCCCCCAAGGGACAAUGCUGACAUUAUAAGUUCCUUUAUAAAUGCUGGGGAAUAGCAAUGAAAGCAUCCAAGGACACAUUAAUUCAGCCAAGUGUGUGGAGGAUGGUAAAGGAGAUCAAGCUUUAUGAAGGUGAAGAAAGAGAGGUCUUGAAGAACUGGCUUGUAUCUUCCCAACUAUAUGAACGUGAGAGGGCAACUCGUAUGUUAACCCAACUGCUGUGGAUUUACAAAAGUCAAGCCACUGCUGAGGUUGGUGACAUUGUCUGAAAGGAAACCACACUUAUGGAGUUAUAUGGACAUAGUUUUCAAAGGUCUGGGUUCUUUCUGUGUAUCGUGGAACUGCUGUUAUUUUUUUCCUUCUCAGCUGCAGUCAGUUGCAAAUGUGGGGCACAUGACUGGGCUGCUACUUCCUAACUGUGUAGAGAAACAAGCAGUCCUUUGCUAUUGGGGAAAAAUUGCAGUUGUCUGCCUGCUUAAUGCAGAUUUUCCAACUAAGAUAGGUAAGUUGACAUGUGAACUUCAGACCUCACAUUCUACUUUCUCAUUCUUCCUUUUGUACCACUGAUCCAAAACCUAGUGGGAGGUAGGAAAUGAAAAAUCUCAAGUCUUGUUUAGACUGAGAAAACAAAGUCAGAAAUCAAAUGCAAGAAGAACGUUAUGUGCUCCUGAGCCAUCUUAAGGACUUUCACAUGUUAAAAGAAAGGAUCAAGUAACUUAUAGUCUGAUCACAGGUCAUGUGACACACUCCAAAAUGACAGAGUGGGAUCACCCGUACUUCGACCAUGAUCUACCACUGAUCAUGAUGUUGGUCCCCAGCCUGCUCUCAACACCACUGAAUGCAAAGGUAUGAAAAGUGUUAACUGUAUGUGAUCUCCCUCAAUAUAACUUUUAGUUGAUCCCCCUUAUUCUGAAGAGUUCUAAUAGAAGAUUAAUAGAGCAAAAUCUAAAAUCCUUUUUUUGAAUAUCCAUGCUGCCUCUGUGAAUGCUUUGGGAUGGCACUAGAACUUCUUGCAAUAUUAAAUGGUUGGAAGGCACUAUCCUGAAAUAAAUGAGGCAAAGAAUAUCUGAGUAGAUUGAGAAGAACAUUUAGAUGUAUAAAUCCCAUGGUAAAAGACAUGUUUCACUGUGCAUUGCUAAAUUCCUCUCCUUUCCAUAGAGAACAGUCUUGUCUUGUUUCACCAUCUCCCUGUGCAUUCUUGUAUGUCUGAAAAUGACCCCUUUUUCAUAACAGCAAACAGUUCACUUUUCAUUGUAUACCACUUUGCUUUGGUCAUUUCUCUUCUCUUUUACUCCUCUAUUCUACUAUAGUCUUUAUUUAUGAUGGAUACUAAUGCUAACAUUGAGUUCAAAAUGCACUUGGCUUAGAAACCACAAAGUACAAAGAACUGUCACUCAAAAUGAGUGAGAACAUAUUUUUUGUUACACAGAUGUCUCAAGCAUAGCAUUCAUAAAAGUCCAGCAUAAAGAAGAGCAGUGUCUUCCCAGCUUCAGAAUAUUUAAAACUGUCAUGGUGAGAUAGAAUUCUUUUCUUUAAAAUUAAUUAGCUUAGAGGGAUAAAGAGACUUCAAUGAAAGUAAUUUUCAUAUCUUAUCUUCUGUUGUCUUAUAUUAUCUGCUAGGAAAUAAACCCAGUGUUGACCAAAUUGAUGUCAGUGAUUUUGUUCCUUAACUUCCUGCAUUAAUUGGAAGAACAAAAACAAACCCUCAACCAUUUAUUUUAAAUAGAAUAGCUUAGAGGAGGACAAUUGUCACAUAGAGAGACACGGGCAGUCACAUAUCUAGUCACUCACAUAGAGAGGCAUAUGCAGCCAUUCACAUAGAGGGGCCACCACUAAACAGUUCUGAUCCAGCUUACCUG